rnacentral:rRNA from 1 species
ACGCUCGACACCUACGGGAGGCUGCAGUGGGGAAUAUUGCACAAUGGGGGAAACCCUGAUGCAGCAACGCCGCGUGAAGGAAGACGGUUUUCGGAUUGUAAACUUCUGUUCUUAGUGAAGAUAGUGACGGUAGCUAAGGAGCAAGCCACGGCUAACUACGUACCAGCAGCCGCGGUAAUCUGAGCGGGCUGGCAAGGC